GAGAGAAGAAGAAAAGGAGGUGGAGAAGCAAAAGAAGGGGUGAAGCCGGGAACGAGCGGGGAAGAGGAGGGGGGCAGAUCAGUGCAACCCACCCAAGGAGCUUAUCAGAAUUUUGGACAAGGAGCUUUCCUAGCCCUGCCAGAAGAUGCCAGGGAUUGAACUUGGGACCUUCUGCAUGCAGAGCAGAUCCCACUGAGCCCAGGUUUCCCCUGUGCUGAAUUUUAGAUCACUAUAUUCCAAAGCAGACUUUUAAGCCUUGCCGAGACCUCUGCCCUGCCAACAAGCGCUAACUGUAAAGGUACCACCAGUGUUAUUUCCAGCCAAAACAAUGUCCAAUCAAUCGCAAAGACUGACUGCCGCUCAGCCCUGUGCAGAACACUGGUUCAACUGCACACACUGAACCCUGGUGGGGUAAUCAGGGUUUUUUAAACAGAUUUGCCAACUGCACGAAGGCCCUGUCAGACACAGAAAAAGAAAUAGGCGAAUGAACACAAAAGCGUGCUUUGCUCCUUGUUUACAGCCUGCAUCAGGGGUACUCCACAGGAGCCUUAUCUACCACCCGGCAACAUUUCAUAUUUUAAUCUGCCUUAGUUCAAUAACGAACAGGUACAAAAAUAUUUACAAGGAUGCAACUAGGCAUUAAACUGCCUAAAGAUGAAGGUGUGGAAGACACGACUCCAGCUAAAAGAAUUAGGUCCUUUAAUAUGGUUUGGACAGUUCGUUUUAAGUAUGGAAAUUGAAUGCAUUCCAACCCUUCUAUAAUUUGCGUGCAUGCUGUUCCUGACAUGGCCUGUCAUUCAAGUGCUUAAUAAACACAUACUUCUAA